UCAGAUGCCUUGCACCGCUGCCGGAUCAAGGAUGGAGUGAACUAAAACACUUUGCUAUUACAACUAGCCCUCCCUGUUCCAUGAAUCGACAGGGGAAGAAUUGGCAAUGCUAAAUUGGUGAGAAGAGAGCAAGAGGAAGAUGAUGAGUUGACAUGGAAAAGCGACUUGCGAUAUGUUCAGCGGAUCACCAUGUCAAGGAAUGAGCAGUUAAAUAAGAGUCUUUUCGACAAAAAGGGAGUAUUUCAUAACUGAACAUGUGUUAUGUACAAUCUGUUACUGACUGGCAUUGU